rnacentral:rRNA from 1 species
UAUCCCGGCCAAAGAAUCCUGA